AUUGAACGCUGGCGGAAUGCUUUACACAUGCAAGUCGAGCGGCAGCGCGGGGGCAACCCUGGCGGCGAGCGGCGAACGGGUGAGUAACAUAUCGGAACGUACCCCGUCGUGGGGGAUAACACAGCGAAAGCUGUGCUAAUACCGCAUACGACCUGAGGGUGAAAGCGGGGGAUCGCAAGACCUCGCGCGAUGGGAGCGGCCGAUAUCGGAUUAGCUUGUUGGUGAGGUAAAGGCUCACCAAGGCGACGAUCCGUAGCUGGUCUGAGAGGACGACCAGCCACACUGGAACUGAGACACGGUCCAGACUCCUACGGGAGGCAGCAGUGGGGAAUUUUGGACAAUGGGGGCAACCCUGAUCCAGCCAUGCCGCGUGAGUGAAGAAGGCC
rnacentral:rRNA from 1 species